GUCUAUGGCCACACCACCUUCAACGCGCCUGAUCUUGUCUGAAUUUGGAAGCUAAGCAGGGUGGGGUCUGGUUAGUACUUGGACGGGAGGAAUAGUCAGUCCUCAUUGCCA
rnacentral:rRNA from 1 species